AAAACGGACUGGUAAAAGCAGUGGCAAGUGGAGAAGGAACUAACUCGGACAGAUGUCAGCCUUUAGGUUGACGGAAUGCUUUUGAGCUGGCUCCAGGCGACGGAUCUCAUCCCUACUUAGGAGACACCAUCAGAAGGAAGUGAACGCUGGAAACUGCCUUAUGUCGAGACAGACCUUUGGACCAUCUACCUCAGUACUGUCUAUACUGACCGGAAGUGUCUUCCCACAGUUUCAGCAGGAACUCCUCCGCCAGGACUACCGCUUCGGUGCAGGUCUCCGGCUCACCUUCCCUUACCCAGCUCUCCAUCUCUGUGGGCAGGACAGCCAGGAACUGCUCCAGGACCACCAACUCCAGAAUCUGCUCCUUUGUGUGCAUCUCCGGCUUCAGCCAUCGAUGGCAAAGUUCCCGGAGCUGGCUGCAAACCUCUCGGGGGCCUUUGGCCUCCUGGUAGAGGAACUGCCUGAAGUGUUGACAUGGCAGCUCUGUGCCGACGGCACAAUCACUCUCCGUCUCCUCCUUCACUUGCCCACAAUCCCCCAGACCUCUGAAUCCUGGCCUGUUUUGGGCCUGCUUUGUCACUCCAUUGAGAGCCAGGUGGUACUGAGCCCCUGAGCUAGGCUCAGCUCUUUCCGCCCAGAAGUCCACAGAAGCGGUAAGAUCCCUCCAAGCCACAGUCUCUGCCAGGUCUCUGUUUCCAGGACGGGGAGCCUCAAUUGCCUUGAGGAACGUCUGCCAUUGGGCAUCCCAGAGCAGCCCCAAUCCGUCCUCCCUCUCCUCUUUCACCUUCUGUUGCAUUGCAGGUCUCAAGAAGCCUUCUAUUCCGUGCGAUUCCACCUCUGGUUCAGGGCAAGUGGAAUCUUGCUCCAUUGUUAUAUCUAAAUUUGUGUCCCGGCCCUGGAAACCGACGUGGAUGCCGCUUUCCCUGCGUCAGAUCUGCUUUGUUUUGAAUGGAAAUAUUUUUCUCUAGUGGAGAAAGAGAGAAGCAGAAGGGAAGGAGUAAUUAUUAUUGUUUACAUUUAUAUCCUGCCCUGAUUGGAAAUGAAGCGGUGAGAUCACCCCAAAACUUCUGCAGGGACAAACAGUUUUGAAAGCAGGAUCAUGUACGACUGCCCUGAUAGCAUCAUGAGCAGAAAUAAUCAUGAAUGGAUAGCAAAAAGGAUGUCUGCAGAGGCCCUUAGACUCUUGGUGUGUUUUUAAAAGCCUUUUCUGCUGGUCUUCCCUGGUGGAGAGGUGAUUGCUGGUGUCUCAUAUAAAACAAUUCAGGUGUCCAGAAUUUUAAUGUAGGUGGAAUUGGGAAGUUGUGUGUCAACGCAAAAAAAGAAAAGGUAGCAGCAAAGAGAGGAACUCAUGAUAUUCCUAACUCAGAACUUACCUGAUACAAAAAAAAGUGAUUUUCUUCUGAGCGUGUAAACAUUUAAAAAUGACUCUAUUCCUGUAAAUGCAGUUAA